rfam:Jatropha curcas cultivar GZQX0401 scaffold779_62, whole genome shotgun sequence.
CUGGAAUGAUGUUACUUAGCCAAAUCAGACAUAGAUGUGCUCCAUAAGGCAAUCUCUUCAAGCUUCUGUUGAUUGUUGUUGUAGAGGCACAUUUGUGGCCUCUUGUAACCUUGACCAAGCAUUAGA